GGCUCAGGACGAACGCUGGCGGCGUGCUUAACACAUGCAAGUCGAACGAUGAACCACUUCGGUGGGGAUUAGUGGCGAACGGGUGAGUAACACGUGGGCAAUCUGCCCUUCACUCUGGGACAAGCCCUGGAAACGGGGUCUAAUACCGGAUACCACCAUCACGGGCAUCUGUGGUGGUUGAAAGCUCCGGCGGUGAAGGAUGAGCCCGCGGCCUAUCAGCUUGUUGGUGAGGUAAUGGCUCACCAAGGCGACGACGGGUAGCCGGCCUGAGAGGGCGACCGGCCACACUGGGACUGAGACACGGCCCAGACUCCUACGGGAGGCAGCAGUGGGGAAUAUUGCACAAUGGGCGAAAGCCUGAUGCAGCGACGCCGCGUGAGGGAUGACGGCCUUCGGGUUGUAAACCUCU
rnacentral:rRNA from 1 species